rnacentral:rRNA from 1 species
UACGUAGGGGGCAAGCGUUGUCCGGAUUUAUUGGGCGUAAAGAGCGUGUAGGCGGCCAUACAGGUCAGCUGUGAAAACUCGAGGCUCAACCUCGAGACGUCGGUUGAAACCGUGUGGCUAGAGUACGGAAGAGGCGAGUGGAAUUCCUGGUGUAGCGGUGGAAUGCGCAGAUAUCAGGAGGAACACCAAUAGCGAAGGCAGCUCGCUGGGACGUUACUGACACUGAGGCGCGAAAGCGUGGGGAGCGAACAGG